ensembl:lncRNA
GGCAGGGAGCAGCUAAGCCGCAGCCACUCACAUGCACACGCACACGUACACGCACACACUCUGGACGCCAAAUGACUGUGGAGAAGGACUUCAAGGAAGGGGGCUGGAUCCUCUCUAAGAGUCACCAGCAUUUUGGUUUCUCUAUAAGCAGCACUUGGAUUCCCGAUGGCAUCACCUGGUGUGGGAAGGUUGUGGUGCCCGCUGCUCCUCUGCCAUCUUUCCGCAGUCCUGGAAAUGGAAGUGCAACACGUAGAAGCACGUGGUCUGUAAAGACAAUGUGGACAGAUGGCCGUAAAGCAGAGACACUACGUUUGUACCUAUCUUGGGCAAGUCAGCUUACUGCCUUAAAGUUAUGCCAAGAAUUUCUAAUGUGAUCACAAGCCAACUUCUUGGUAAAGCUGGGUUUAUUUCAGGUCCAUGUUUUCUUACUCUAGUUAUAAAACAACUUACUGUUCCUCAGUUUGUUAGAGGUGAGGGCUUCCCCAUCCCUGUACUAUCUCCUGUUUGCAUGUGUUGCCCAGGAGUAAGGAAGUCCACUUGACAGUGUUGCCCAGGUGGAGAGUUAAAACCUAAUAUUAAUACAGUUUCCCCCCACAUACGCUAAUUUAUCUGGGAAUGUAAUACCUUAUUAAAUGAUGCCUUCUUUACUCUAAGGUAUUUUCCACUUUACAGAAAAGUGCAAACCAGUAUGUAAUAGGUUGAAACUUCACCUGCUUUUCAGGGCAAACACAACCCUUUCUUUCCACUGGCAGAAGUCAUCUUUCAGGGCCUAAUGACUUGAUAUAAAAGCUUGCUUUAUAGCAUUCGUGUCCAGUACAGAGCGAGAUUUAAAAAUUAUAUAUAUAUAAUGGAAAUAUUAACAUUUCUAGAUUAAAAGUAUGACUGAUCUUUCGUUAUCCACAGUAGCAAGGUGAAAGCACACACAAUCGAAUUCCAUAGAUAAUCAGUGUUUCAACUUCUCUGUCAAACAAUUGAUUUGCAUAUCUUUUCCCUUCCUAUUCCUCUUCCACAAACACCCCCCUUUCACGGGACUAGUUGACAGCAAAGGAAAAGAGGCUCAAAGGAGGGCCAGCAGCCGGCCACCAGGCCAGGGUCCCAGUUAGCUUAGGAGAACGAGCACAAGUGGGAACCUGAAGCAUGGUCUGCCGCUGAGUUCUCUGCUGCCUCCUGACCAGAGAAAACUCUUAGACACACACAGAAACCCCACCAUCUGAGCACAUUUCCUGGCUCCUGGCAAAGCUUGCUUUUCUGUUUCUUCUUUGGAGUUACCUGCAGUCUGAUGUCCUGGUGCGCAGCAAGGGUGCUCUGUCCUCUUGGACUGUGUUGGUUUUGUCUCCUGUAAAAGCAGUUUGGUUUUCUGUGUUCUUAGUGAUGUUUAGAGAGUGGCCCUCCCACCAACACUCUGGCAUAGCACAAAAGCCAUUUUCCCUUUUGUUCUUUCUUGUUUCCUGGUGUUGGGCUUCAGGGUGAAUGAGGGAGGGUUCAUUGUUACAGCUAGGCUUUUGAAGAGCUGGCUACCACAGGUGUAAAUUCUAUUGAUCCCCAGGUACCUUAGAACUCUGGAAGCUUUGGCAGGGCCAGAAGCAGGCACGGUGGGGUUCUGGGACCUCCAUAUGUUAUCACCUGUCUGAGUUUGUGAGAUUUGGAAGAAAAAAAUCUCUCCCCUUGUCUGGUGUCAAAAACAGACGUUCCGAGUUGUGCUUCGAUGGUAGCACCAUCUUCUUGGUGUUCUUUCCAUGUUGCUAACCUUUUUUAAAACAUUUGGGAAGUUUUUUAAAGGCCCGCUUAGCCUGCACAGAGCGAGUCAGAGGCCGAUUUCACUAAGUAGUUUAAUUGCUGUUGUGCUAGUUACACAGCAGGAAUACAAAGGAGGCAGCAGGAAGCACACUGACUGGGGUAGGGAGAGUGCAGGCUUCUCCCUGCGGAGGCUGUAGGGAUGGGCAGGAAAGGACAGCCUCCCUUUGGAGCUGCUAUGAGGCUGGGCCAGGCUCCGCUCUUCCUGCAGGUAUUCGAGGCCAUACACAGUGCUCGCCUUACUUUAAAGCUACUUGCCACAGUCCUGUUACACAGUGUGGAUGUCCUUUUGCAGUCUGGUGUGCAUGCCAUGUGAUCAGGACAGCUUUUCCACCUCCCCUGGUUUCCUAUGAGCAAGUAAAUCUAC